rnacentral:rRNA from 1 species
GCACGCGUGCUACACUGAUGCACCCAAUGAGUGUUCCAUCUUGCCUGGAGUGGCUGGGCAAUCUUGCAAACCUGCAUCGUGAUGGGGAUGGAUCAUUGCAACUAUUGCUCCUAAACGAGGAAUUCCUAGUAAAAGUGAGUCAACAACUUGUGUUGAUUGUGUCCCUGCCCUUUGUACACACCGCCCGUCGCUCCUACCGAUUGAGUGGUCCGGUGAACAGUUUGGAUCUGGUGUAGCAUUCACUUCGUGAAUAGUGCAGCAGCAAAUUCAGUGAACCUUAUCACUUAGAGGAAGGAG